GGGCUUUCCAAGGUAUGCCAGGCUUAAGAGGAAAUGCAGGUGAAAGAGGGCCUCCUGGGGAAGUUGGACCAAUUGGGCUUCCAGGGCGUAAAGGAGAACGAGGAGAAAAGGGAGAACCUCAGUCUAUGGCAACAAUUUAUCAGCUUGUCACACAAACUUGUGAACAACUUGUCCAUAGUAAG